rnacentral:rRNA from 1 species
CAGAAGUGCGAAUGCUGACAUAAGUAACGAUAAAGCGGGUGAAAAGCCCGCUCGCCGGAAGACCAAGGGUUCCUGUCCAACGUUAAUCGGGGCAGGGUGAGUCGACCCCUAAGGCGAGGCCGAAAGGCGUAGUCGAUGGGAAACAGGUUAAUAUUCCUGUACUUGGUGUUACUGCGAAGGGGGGACGGAGAAGGCUAUGUUGGCCGGGCGACGGUUGUCCCGGUUUAAGCGUGUAGGCUGGUUUUCCAGGCAAAUCCGGAAAAUCAAGGCUGAGGCGUGAUGACGAGGCACUACGGUGCUGAAGCAACAAAUGCCCUGCUUCCAGGAAAAGCCUCUAAGCAUCAGGUAACAUCAAAUCGUACCCCAAACCGACACAGGUGGUCAGGUAGAGAAUACCAAGGCGCUUGAGAGAACUCGGGUGAAGGAACUAGGCAAAAUGGUGCCGUAACUUCGGGAGAAGGCACGCUGAUAUGUAGGUGAAGUCCCUUGCGGAUGGAGCUGAAAUCAGUCGAAGAUACCAGCUGGCUGCAACUGUUUAUUAAAAACACAGCACUGUGCAAACACGAAAGUGGACGUAUACGGUGUGACGCCUGCCCGGUGCCGGAAGGUUAAUUGAUGGGGUCAGCGCAAGCGAAGCUCUUGAUCGAAGCCCCGGUAAACGGCGGCCGUAACUAUAACGGUCCUAAGGUAGCGAAAUUCCUUGUCGGGUAAGUUCCGACCUGCACGAAUGGCGUAAUGAUGGCCAGGCUGUCUCCACCCGAGACUCAGUGAAAUUGAACUCGCUGUGAAGAUGCAGUGUACCCGCGGCAAGACGGAAAGACCCCGUGAACCUUUACUAUAGCUUGACACUGAACAUUGAGCCUUGAUGUGUAGGAUAGGUGGGAGGCUUAGAAGUGUGGACGCCAGUCUGCAUGGAGCCGACCUUGAAAUACCACCCUUUAAUGUUUGAUGUUCUAACGUUGACCCGUAAUCCGGGUUGCGGACAGUGUCUGGUGGGUAGUUUGACUGGGGCGGUCUCCUCCUAAAGAGUAACGGAGGAGCACGAAGGUUGGCUAAUCCUGGUCGGACAUCAGGAGGUUAGUGCAAUGGCAUAAGCCAGCUUGACUGCGAGCGUGACGGCGCGAGCAGGUGCGAAAGCAGGUCAUAGUGAUCCGGUGGUUCUGAAUGGAAGGGCCAUCGCUCAACGGAUAAAAGGUACUCCGGGGAUAACAGGCUGAUACCGCCCAAGAGUUCAUAUCGACGGCGGUGUUUGGCACCUCGAUGUCGGCUCAUCACAUCCUGGGGCUGAAGUAGGUCCCAAGGGUAUGGCUGUUCGCCAUUUAAAGUGGUACGCGAGCUGGGUUUAGAACGUCGUGAGACAGUUCGGUCCCUAUCUGCCGUGGGCGCUGGAGAACUGAGGGGGGCUGCUCCUAGUACGAGAGGACCGGAGUGGACGCAUCACUGGUGUUCGGGUUGUCAUGCCAAUGGCACUGCCCGGUAGCUAAAUGCGGAAGAGAUAAGUGCUGAAAGCAUCUAAGCACGAAACUUGCCCCGAGAUGAGUUCUCCCUGACUCCUUGAGAGUCCUGAAGGAACGUUGAAGACGACGACGUUGAUAGGCCGGGUGUGUAAGCGCAGCGAUGCGUUGAGCU